rnacentral:rRNA from 1 species
CCGCGGGAUUAGAGUUUGAUCCUGGCUCAGAAUCAACGCUGGCGGCGUGCCUAACACAUGCAAGUCGAACGAGAAACUGGAGCAAUCCAUGAGUAAAGUGGCGACCGGGUGAGUAACACGUGACGUAACCUACCCCUUCUGUGGGGGAUAACCUCGGCGAAACCGGGGCUAAUAUCCGCAUAAUAUCCCUAGAACUUAGGUUCUUGGACUCAAAGGAGUAAUUCGCUGGAGGAGGGAGCCCGCGGCUGAUUAGCUAGUUGGCAGGGUAAUGGCCCACCAAGGCUUUGAUCGGUAGCUGGUCUGAGAGGAUGCACAGCCACACUGGAACUGAUACACGGUCCAGACUCCUACGGGAGGCAGCAGUGGGGAAUCUUGCGCAAUGGGCGAAACCCUGAUGCAG